GGCCCCUUUUCUCAGGGAUAGCCUAACAUCUGACCGCACCCUCUUUGCUUUUUAAAAAAUGCCUUUUCACUCUUUAAGAUAAAUCCACUAUUAUACAAUCUGCCACUAAUUGUGUAUUAAGACUUUUUUCUCUCGAAAGCUGACGCAUCCUGCUCUCAACGUGGUGUAGAAAGCGGGCUGUUACAGUGCUGGAUUAAUAAAAGGGGCCUUUAUGGUUUGUGAAAGAAUAUCUCUGUGCUUAGGCAGGAAACUUUUUGAUCCACAGAAAAGCCAGACGACAUCUAGAGCAAGAGAAGCCAACAUUAGGAGCAUGCAUAUUGUGAUAUCCUCAGCGAUUUCUUUUACAAUGCAUUCUGCUCAGGCCAGUGAAUUUUGUUUAACUGACCAGUGAAAGAAAAAAAAUUAAAAUGAAAAAGGAAACUGAAGAAGUUAAUUAUACCAGAAUUCAGCGAAGCUGAACGGCUUCCCGAAGAGCACUGAGUUUUCUAUGCCAGAUUCUGCUCCAGUGGCUAGGACCUUUAUGGCUGCGGUUUCUUUUUUUUUUUUUUGUGCGUUGGGGUGAGUGGGGGGGAAAAAAAAAAAAAAAGCCACCGUGGAUCCCAUCCCUAAAGUAGAAAUUUUCUUUUUCAUUCUGCAAACAAGGCUAAAGAUCGGAGGAGAAUGAAUGCGAAAGUAAUUCAGGAUUGUGGUCGUGCCAUUAAAAGUGUUCGGCUUCAGAACGAAAUUAUUUGGGAAGUCCGAGCAUUUCUUCUUACUGUAUCGACAGUAUUUGAAAGUUAUGUGUGCUUUGAGUAAUCUGGUUCAAGUGACAACAAUCUCUGCAUGUCAAUGUUUUCUACAGCUUAUGGAGCGAAAGCUAGUUUUGCCACUGGGAAGGAAGAAGCUUUUGCUAGCAGUCUGUAGAAGGAUUAAAUGUUGAACGUGGGGAAGAGGCAAAAAGUGAAUACACGCCCAAAGGGUUAUCCUUGCAUCGUGAAUGGGUUUAAAGUACUCUGUAACCCAGGGCCCACCUGAACAGUAGGACUAAAAGUAUAAUGGGGAAAUAUUUCAAUUAGAAACCCCUUAACAAGCAUUUAAUCCUUCUUUCAGGCAUUAAGGGAAAUAGAAUAAAAUUGUUACUGUACAAAUCUGCUGGAAGCAGAUUUUAACCCAUUUUUAGACGCUUCCCUCUGAUGCAUUAUAAUAUGGCUACUUGCGAGACGAGGCAGUGAGGGGUUUUUUCCUGUGUUCUUUGUUUUUUCUUUUCAAAAGUUAAGGACUAUACUCUAAGAAAAGUCUGUUCAGUCAGCUGAUACAUUGUUUGAAUGUAUGUAUGUGUCUUGCCUGCUUAUUUGAUCUUUUCU